rnacentral:lncRNA from 1 species
GAAGCUCUCUAUGAGUCUGAAAGAUGUUCAAGUGGGGGGAGGGGGGUGGAGGGAGGGGAUGGAUUAUUUGUCUUCUGUGGCUUCGCUGAGGGUAGAGGGACUCAACUCCUUAGUCUUGGGACUCAGUAGCAAAACCUUUCCAGACAAAAGCCCAACAAGUGAUGAAUGCUAUUUUGGUGGAAUGGAAUGGCCAAGUGUUUCAUGGAGGGUGUCAGAGAAAUGUCUGGCUGGGAAAAGAGAGACCAGGAAGCAGAUUCUGUUUUCUCAUGGCUCAGUGUACAGGAGCUGCAUGUGGACUACAUUGUAACCCGUGGUUUUUAUGUUGAACAGAACUGUCUCAGAAAGCAUGGACAUUUCCUGAGAGAGAAGGAAGAAAGAAGGGGGAAAAAGAUUGGUGGAAUGAAGUGUGUGUGUAGGGAACAGCAUGGAAGAUAA